UAUCACUGGGUGCAUGAAGAUUGUGGUACAGAGAUCAUCACAUCACGCCGCCGUGACAUCUCUUCUAGCUGUCUUUCUCUCUCUAAUGCAGUCAUCAUACUCUGAGUUGAUA